CAGACCUCGUGACUUCCUACCGAAAAGAAACCGUGCGGUUCAAGGAUCCGAUAUUUAUCAAAGGUUUACAACGGAAUUGACACAAUAUUCGGACUGUACCAGUAGUACUUGGUUGUUGUCCUCCGUCUUCACACAAUUAUCGCCAUAGAAAUUAUCUAAUUUAAUGAAUUACUUGCUGAUAAAUUCCUCGAUAAGAUAGUUCAGCAGUGCAAUUCCAAACAACAGACCUCAUGACUUCCCACCGAAAAGAAACGUGCGGUUCAAGGAUCCGAUAUUUAUCAAAGGUUUACAACGGAAUUGACACAAUAUUCGGACUGUACCAGUAGUACUUGGUUGUUGUCCUCCGUCUUCACACAAUUAUCGCCAUAGAAAUUAUCUAAUUUUAUG